AAUGGAUUUGGCGGCACAAUAAACUUUUUAGAGGAACCUGUUCUAUAAAUGACAUACCACGAGAGACUCUACUUUUUCUAGUAACCAAUUUGUAUACCAUUGUUGUAAGUUAGAUUUUAUAUAAAAUUAACUAAGAUGAUUAGAUUCAAUUACUUCAAAUAAAGGUGCAGUUUAUGUAAAUGUUGAAAUGGGUUACAAUUUUGGAGGAAUAUGGAUUAUGAUAUGAAAAAUUGUAAGAAAGUGGAUUUAAUAGUAAUUUUUUAAUAAAUUGAAUUAAGCUCUAUAGUGUGUACACACCGCCCGUC
rnacentral:rRNA from 1 species